AUGAUGUAUGUGCUUACUAUUUCCAUUUUGUGCGUUCGUAUUCUGUCUCAGAUGAUGGCGAUAUGUUGCGAGGAUGAGUGCUUCUCCAUUUUCUGUUCUAUAUGUGGUGGUCGACAUUUGUACCUCGCUCGGGCUAAUUUCUUUGGUGGUGGCUCUCGUCGUUCCAAUCCCAGUCAUGACACUGGUUCCAAGCGUCUGCGCAAUCCAGAUGAAGCACCAGAGGACUCCCCUGCCCCCAAGCGCCAUGUCAAGACAUCCGCUAGUAAGCACAAGGAACCCAGCAAGGGCAUGGACGAGAUUCCCCUAUCUGAGUUCGUCCGUCUCAGGAAGCUCAACCCGUAUGUGCAUCCUCGUGCUACUGUCAGAGGAUGUGAACUGUUUUGGAACAAGCAACAGACUCUCACUUAUCUGGAUGUCAUCAAGAACAAGAAGAAUACCUAG
rnacentral:rRNA from 1 species